rnacentral:rRNA from 1 species
UACGUAGGGGGCAAGCGUUGUCCGGAAUCAUUGGGCGUAAAGCGCGUGUAGGCGGCUCGGUAAGUCUGCUGUGAAAGUCCAGGGCUCAACCCUGGGAUGCCGGUGGAUACUGUCGAGCUCGAGUCCGGAAGAGGCGAGUGGAAUUCCUGGUGUAGCGGUGAAAUGCGCAGAUAUCAGGAGGAACACCAACGGCGAAGGCAGCUCGCUGGGACGGUACUGACGCUGAGACGCGAAAGCGUGGGGAGCGAACAGG